GAGAAGACAAUCAGACCUUCAGCAGUGUGCUCAAUUUCACACAGGAAAUAAGAAGUUCAUCCUACAGAGAAAAAGAACUGCUAGCCUUUGAUUCUGUCUACCUGAAAAGAGAUGACAGUCAGACCUUCAACAGUGUGUUCAAUUCCACACAGGAAAUAAAAAGAUGAUGUCUCAUAAUCAUAUUAAGCAAUCAUGACAGCAAUGAUGAACUUUGUGAGUGGCAGAUGAGCUGAAAUUAAUUGCUGGAUAAAGACAGAGUUCAACUUUGAAUUUUAGCUGAACAUCCCUCUAUGACACAAGAUAUGGAAAAGCAAAACCACUUUCUCCUCUAUUGAGCAGUUGCAAUCAUUGAUGACUAGGCUGCUGUUGGUUUCUAUUUAUUUAUUUAUUUAUUUAUUUAUUUUUGUAAGGGGGAAUAGAUUAUUUCUGUAGUAGACAUUAUUAUAUUUACAUUUGCUUCUUAAUUUACACUUACAAUUUAUCAAGCUAAUUUCACUUUACCUCCCUUGUAGUAAAAUAAAAAUUCUUUAAAAAUCA
rnacentral:lncRNA from 1 species